rnacentral:rRNA from 1 species
CAGCCGCCGCGGUAAAACGUAGGGUGCAAGCGUUAAUCGGAAUUACUGGGCGUACAGCGUGCGCAGGCGGUUCCGCAAGUCAGAUGUGAAAUCCCCGGGCUCAACCUGGGAACUGCAUUUGAAACUACGGAGCUAGAGUGUGUCAGAGGGGGGUGGAAUUCCACGUGUAGCAGUGAAAUGCGUAGAGAUGUGGAGGAACACCAAUGGCGAAGGCAGCCCCCUGGGAUGACACUGACGCUCAUGCACGAAAGCGUGGGGAGCAAACAGGAUUAGAUACCCCGGUAGUCCCUGUCUCUUAUAC